GUGAAGUUGAUCACAAGCAAACAUAUACCCCUUUGUUUGAUCGUGAAAAAUUUCUCCCAUCCCCUUUGUUCGUAUAAAUAAUCCGAAAAAAGCCGUGCUCACGAUCUGCAUGGUUUUUUU
rnacentral:sRNA from 1 species